GUGCUUGCUUGGACAGCACACUUGCUAGAAUCGGAAUGAUACAAAGAUGAUUAACAUGGCCUCUGGACAAGGGUGACAUGCAAAUUUGUGAAGUGUUACAUAUUUUU
ensembl:snRNA U6 U6 spliceosomal RNA